GAUGAACGCUGGCGGCGUGCCUAAUACAUGCAAGUCGAGCGAACGGACGAGAAGCUUGCUUCUCUGAUGUUAGCGGGGGACGGGUGAGUAACACGUGGAUAACCUACCUAUAAGACUGGGAUAACUUCGGGAAACCGGAGCUAAUACCGGAUGAUAUUUUUAACCGCAUGGUUCAAAAGUGAAAGACGGUCUUGCUGUCACUUAUAGAUGGAUCCGCGCUGCAUUAGCUAGUUGGUAAGGUAACGGCUUACCAAGGCAACGAUGCAUAGCCGACCUGAGAGGGUGAUCGGCCACACUGGAACUGAGACACGGUCCAGACUCCUACGGGAGGCAGCAGUAGGGAAUCUUCCGCAACGGGCGACAGCCUGACGGAGCAACGCCGCGUGAGUGAUGAAGGUCUUCGGAUCGUAAAACUCUGUUAUUAGGGAAGAACAUAUGUGUAAGUAACUGUGCACAUCUUGACGGUACCUAAUCAGAAAGCCACGGCUAACUCCGUG
rnacentral:rRNA from 1 species